UGGGGUUGUAGGACCACGACAUUGUAUUGUCGCUAUGAACUGGAAGCAGGUGGGAAACUGCGCAAUAAGGGUGACAGCCCCGUACAGGUAAAGAAUGACAGCAUAGUGGUAUCCUGAGUAGGGCGGGACCGGAGAAAUCCUGCUUGAAUCUACCGGCACCAUCCGGUAAGGCUAAAUACUCCUGAGAGACCGAUAGUGAACCAGUACCGUGAGGG
rnacentral:ncRNA from 1 species